UAUUUAUUCAGAUUAGUGAUUAGAUUAGUAUUAAGUUAGUAACACUGAUGUGUCAUGGGCUCUAUAUCACAGUUAACAAUAUUACAAAUACAAAUGGCAUUAUAUCACAUCAUAUAUACAAUUCAAGAGAAGAUCCAUAUUGUGCAGGAAAUCAACAAUGAGUUAUUUUAUUAGUCCAAAGAUUUACAAUUUCAGUUCAUAAUCAUGUCAUAUGACAUUAAAAACAAAGGAAUUUACUAGAUCAUAGGAUGAACUGAUUAGGUAUUGUCAUGGAUGUAUUUGCAAUGCAAAAGGAAAAUAUAUACAUAAUACAUUGUGUUAUGUGUGAUAUGGCAUGCAAAAAAGAAAUGUAAAAUAUAUAAUCAAGUACAUAGGGGUGGAUGAUUCAGUUUCCAUGAGAGAUUGAAUUUGUAGACUUUGUAGGUCCUUUUUAUGCCAAGAGGAAUCCAGAAUGUCCUUCGUGUUGUGAGGAAAAUCCAACUCCCGCUGCGAAAUAAAAACUAAUGCAUAUCUCACUGGCACUGCUGUCUGCAGGGAGAAUGGAAGAGACAUUUUAAUGCAUUUAAGAGUUUUUUUUCUAGGUAGCGGUUGAUAGACAGAGGAACCUUAUAUUUGCGAACACCUAGGGUUUAAUGCACUCAGAGGUGCUCUCUGCCUUGUCUUCCGCCCAACAAAACAUGUUCUGCAGAAUAAAGGAAAAAGCAAAGCACAAAAUUAUUCCUUCUGCCUUCUAUCAAGCCCCUGCAUUCACGGCAGCGUCUUAAGGGCGCGUCAGUCCGCCUGCCUCUCUUGGAGACGUAAUUAUCCUUUUUCCUGUCACAGGGCUCCAAAUGAUCUCUAACCACUGGGGUGCUUUUGCAGGAGCUCAGCUUUGUCAAUAGGAAGGAGAAAGAGGUUUAAUUUUCAGACAGCUGCACAUCUACUUUUAUCAUACUAUUAUUUGCUCUCUGGUCAUCUAUCUCAUCCGUGUGUGUUUAUUCGCACUUCUGUUUGUGAGGUUUGGCUGCACAUAUGUAUGGCCCACCUACAUUAACAUAUUUACUUAUAGUCUUGCACUUGCACUCUUGCAGUUUUUUUUAGUGUGUACCGUUUUUUUUUUUUUUGCACUCCAUAUUGUCCGUGUAAUUUUCCUUUCAGCAUUUCUCUGUUUUCCCCCCUUUUCCUUCCCUUUCAGAAAGGGCUGUGAAUGGAAGGAAAAUUAUCACAAUUACUCAUAUAAUUGAGUCGUCUUUGUAGAAAGUGAAGCUGUAGUAGCCUUUUUUUCCCCAUCAUCUAAAAUGGUUUCAUUAUAGGGGUUUUCAUAUUCCCUGACACAGGGCGAGGAGAGGAAAGGAGAGGAGCUGGUGAGGGCCUGGAGCCGAGCGGCUGGGCGCGUGCAGGAGACGCAGGCCAAACACGAAGGAUCAUUAAGGUGUGAACCACUGGCCAGGCCUGGAGACAAUUAUUCCUGUCUGCUCUCCCAGAGGACCCAUGAGGUAGGACUCUCCUUUAACUCUCUCCCACUGUGGCCUGAGUGUGUGCAGCUGAGAAAGAGAACACAGCAGUGAUGGGCUAAAGGCCUUGAGCCCUGCAUUAAUCCAUCUCCAUUUAUAUGGCCUACGCAUACACUGCAGUUGUGUAAAUAUUGACUGAUAUUUAUUGAGCAAUUAUUUAUCGAGUUAUGAUUUGCUUCAUUUUGUAAUGAUGUAGCAACCAUUCAUUUGAAAAAACAUUUUUUAUCUGACUAAUGUUAGGUACUUUAGCUAGUUUAUCUUCCAGUAGCAUGUUUGUUGUUUAGAAAAUAUCAUCAUAAAUUGUAUUUUGAAGGGGAACAGGCUUUUAACUGGUCUCACUUAUUGGAAUAGAAAAUGAAUAACUCUCAAAAUGUAUAUUUUAAAAAGAAGAUAUAUGAUUCACAUAUAGGUAACUUGUUUAAAUUAAUUUGUAAGUACACAUGUUCAUAUCCAUAUAUAUUUAUGGACUGAUAACUGAUUAAAAUAAAAGUGCACAUUUUCAUUUAUAAAUUCUUUUCAAAACACACACAGUGAAAUGAUCAGUAAUUUAAUCGAAACUAGUCUGAAAUAACAACUGGUUGCUCUAAACAGGUUGAGUAUUUUAUGUUUAUUUAAAUAGGUGGUGGUGUUUUUUUUUAAAUUAAAUUGUUUAGUUAUAAGCUACAUAAUCGUCAAUACAAUCACACCUUUUCAAUUGAAUACUGGAAUAAAACAUUUAACAUGGCUUAAUCAUUGUGUAUCGAUUGGCAGGUUUUCUUGCACUACACCUUUUCUUGCACCUUCUCUGACAAAUUGUUCUGAAUCUGAAUGAGUACCUCUACACUGCCUCCUCUCUCUGUUUAUGAGAGCUCACUGGAGCAGAAAAUUGAAGGUAUGCCCUGCUUAAACCAUCCAAUAGUGAUCUAGUAAAACCUGGUCCAGUAAAGCACUAUUCUAUCCUCCAUGGUUGAUUAAACACACUGAAUUUGGAUCAUUACAUCUGAUCAAAUUUUGUCCCUUUUUGGGCUUUAUGCCACAGAGACAGGAAUGGAUCCAUUUUAGCAAGUGUGUAAAUAAGGUGUAAUUGCAAAUCUCUGGCUAAAUACCGGGCCACAUGUCCAAACGGACAGACUGGCUGUUAUUCACUCAGCUGAGCUGUUUAUGUUAAUGUGGAGUUAAUGCUUU
ensembl:lncRNA